GCCGUGCCGUCGCGCGGCUGGUACGGCGCGGCCGCGCUGCUGCUCGCGGCCGGCUGCGGCGCGUUCCAUUUCGGGCAGUACGGCGC
rnacentral:tRNA from 1 species